GGGGAUGUAGCUCAGUUGGGAGAGCGCCUGCUUUGCAAGCAGGAGGCCACGGGUUCAAGUCCCGUCAUCUCCACCA
rnacentral:tRNA from 1 species